rnacentral:rRNA from 1 species
GGUUGACCUCGAAUCAGGUAGGAAUACCCGCUGAACUUAAGCAUA